UUUCCGUAGGUGAACCUGCGGAAGGAUCAUUAUUGGAUUUUGAAACUUCAGGCUGCUGCUGGCUCUCCUCGGAGGGCAUGUGCACGCUUGUUGUCCAUUAUUUCUCCCACUGUGCACAAAUUGUAGACCUUUCAGUAGGCCUAUGUUGUUUUUCACAAUCUCUGAAUGUAAUAGAAUGGUUUUGAAUCUUGGAAAAUACAAUACAACUUUCAGCAACGGAUCUCUUGGCUCUC
rnacentral:misc_RNA from 1 species